UGCUGCGUGAAUAUCUGUUUUUAUACAGUCUAUGGUGAAUAUACGGUCAUAAGUAAAUUGCAUACGUUCAAAUCUAUAUAUUUUAGAAUAAAAGCAUAUAUCUUGUAUAAAUAGAGAUACAAUAACGAUCGACACAAAUGUGUUAAAUUUCCUUUUAUUGUGUUAUAAUUCUGUGUUGUGUCAUUUAAAAGCAUCGUCUGGAUGGUAUAGUUUGUCUUUGGCAUUUAAUACAAACUUGUCAAUACAUUUGACUCUCUGUAAAGAUUUAUUUAUAUGUAUGUUUAUUAUUUUACAGUGUUUUAACAUGUUUUUGUAUUUUUCAUGUUUAUGAUAUUUUGGGAUGACUGAAGAUUCAGAGCAGAAUUCAAUAAUCCUGUGAAUGGACCACAGCGAGUCCUUUUGCAGUUAUCCAUCAAAAUGAUAUGCAGACAUAAUGGAAAUGGCAUUUACACAGUAGAGCUUGGACGAAGUUCACACAGGCUCUGCGCAGGAAUUCAUCAAGGACAUAACUGCUGGGAUUACGCUUGUGGAUGACCAAUCUGAGCACCAUCAGUCUGCAGUGAUGUAGUCCAGCCAUCCAGUGACAUUAAGGAUGUUGAGAAAGAAAUUGAAGAGGGCAUUCUGAUUGUAACUGAGGAACAGCAAUGUGAUGUGCUUCCCAAGGAAUAACCAACAUUGGUCUCAUUUGGACAUCCUUUCAUCACUGACAUCUCCCAUGUCCCCAAGGCAUUUAGACUCCUAAUGGGUCUGUAUGCAGUGAACAUCCACCACCUCCAGCGCAUUAAAUACACCAUUGAGGCUCUGCAAAAACUUGUGAAGAUCAGCUGCUCCCACCAUGUGCUCGCUACAGCGGCAGGAACUGUAGGUGUGGGGGAGUGAAUGUCCAGCGCUCUCUCCACCCUCAACACCACAAAUAAGGUGUCCUUGAGCAAGGCACAACUUCUCCCCGGGUACUGCAGCAUAAAUGGCUGCCCACUGCUCUGGGUGUGUGUUCACGGUGUGUGUUCACUGCUGUGUGUGCACUUUGGAUGGGUUAAAUGAAGAGCACAAAUGUAUGUCAUGUCACUUUCACUUUUCAGUGUUCAUGAUGUGUCCAUCGGCUCCACCGCACUCUUUCUUAAAAAGUAGUGUUUUUUUUGUUUUUUGUUUUUUAAUAAGGAAAGGUUCUUUUGUGCCUUUCACUACAUUUUAGAAUGUACAUUAAAGUUUAUCAUGUCAUAACUUGGAAUAUGCAUGUUCUCAUGUAAACAAAUGUUGUUUCCCCUCUCAUUUUCUUAAACAGUAUGUACACAUUUUCAGUAUGUAGCAUUAUGAUGGGGGACGAGUUUGGAAACUUUCAAGAUCCUUCUGAUGUUAACACCUCUGUCUGGUCAUGUUGUGCUGUGAAAUUUAGAAUCUGACUUUAGAUCUUUGUGCUUUC